rnacentral:tRNA from 1 species
CCUUCGAUAGCUCAGUUGGUAGAGCGGUGGACUGUAGAGGUCUGAAACAUCCAGGAGAUAUCCAUAGGUCGCUGGUUCAAAUCCGGCUCGAAGGA